AAUCUUGCGCAAUGGACGAAAGUCUGACGCAGCGACGCCGCGUGAGGGACGAAGGCCUNCGGGUCNUNAACCUCUGUCCUUGGGGNCGAUAAUGACGGUACCCUAGGAGGAAGCCCCGGCUAACUACGUGCCAGCAGCCGCGGUAAUACGUAGGGGGCGAGCGUUGUCCGGAAUUAUUGGGCGUAAAGGGUUCGCAGGCGGCCUUUUAAGUCAGAUGUGAAAGAUCACGGCUCAACCGUGGUAAGCAUUUGAAACUGGAAGGCUUGAGUUAAGGAGAGGAAAGUGGAAUUCCUAGUGUAGCGGUGAAAUGCGUAGAUAUUAGGAGGAAUACCAGUGGCGAAGGCGACUUUCUGGACUUAUACUGACGCUGAGGAACGAAAGCGUGGGGAGCAAACA
rnacentral:rRNA from 1 species